AUACUAGCCGUUUAUUGUCUGCACCGGCCACCGCGCCAUCUCCUCCCGUGUCCAGACACUUAUUUCGUUUCGUGUUUACUGUUUUCUGUUCCAUCACAACGUCGAGUCGUGUCGUAUCAUGAUCGUGUCGUGCCCGUGUCGUGGACGUCGCAGUCGGGUGCGACCCCGAAGGACAAUUUAAUAAAGAAAGCUGAGCCGUUACCGCGCGCCGCACCGCACACUGCCCGCCCUAAUAAAGUUUGUAAAAAUAUCUGCAGACACAAUGUUAAGGCUCGACCACAUUAAAUAAUUUAAUUGUUA